GAAAACCCUAAGUAUCAAAUUUCAAGAGCUCUAGUGAGGAUUUUGGAGUUGCAACAACAACUUUAGGGUUGAUAUUUUUUUCGUCUUUUUUCUGAAUUAGUAUUAGGUUUUUGUAGAUUAACAAUUAGGUUUAGAAUUAAAUUGAUUCAUGUAUUUGAGGAAGACUUUUGUGUGAUUAUUAUUGUAAAUCUAUAAGGAUUUUAGGGUUUCUAAUUUUGUAAAUAUAACAAUCUGUAUUUGGUCCAAUUUCU
rnacentral:lncRNA from 1 species